rnacentral:rRNA from 1 species
CAUGCAAGUCGAGCGGCAGCGGGAAGUAGCUUGCUACUUUGCCGGCGAGCGGCGGACGGGUGAGUAAUGUCUGGGAAACUGCCUGAUGGAGGGGGAUAACUACUGGAAACGGUAGCUAAUACCGCAUGACCUCGCAAGAGCAAAGUGGGGGACCUUCGGGCCUCACGCCAUCGGAUGUGCCCAGAUGGGAUUAGCUAGUAGGUGAGGUAAUGGCUCACCUAGGCGACGAUCCCUAGCUGGUCUGAGAGGAUGACCAGCCACACUGGAACUGAGACACGGUCCAGACUCCUACGGGAGGCAGCAGUGGGGAAUAUUGCACAAUGGGCGCAAGCCUGAUGCAGCCAUGCCGCGUGUGUGAAGAAGGCCUUAGGGUUGUAAAGCACUUUCAGCGAGGAGGAAGGGUUCAGUGUUAAUAGCACUGUACAUUGACGUUACUCGCAGAAGAAGCACCGGCUAACUCCGUGCCAGCAGCCGCGGUAAUACGGAGGGUGCAAGCGUUAAUCGGAAUUACUGGGCGUAAAGCGCACGCAGGCGGUUUGUUAAGUCAGAUG